rnacentral:rRNA from 1 species
AUUGAACGCUGGCGGCAUGCCUUACACAUGCAAGUCGAACGGCAGCACGGGAGCAAUCCUGGUGGCGAGUGGCGAACGGGUGAGUAAAGUAUCGGAACGUGCCCAGUCGUGGGGGAUAACGUAGCGAAAGUUACGCUAAUACCGCAUACGAUCUAUGGAUGAAAGCGGGGGAUCGCAAGACCUCGCGCGAUUGGAGCGGCCGAUAUCAGAUUAGGUAGUUGGUGGGGUAAAGGCUCACCAAGCCGACGAUCUGUAGCUGGUCUGAGAGGACGAACAGCCACACUGGGACUGAGACACGGCCCAGACUCCUACGGGAGGCAGCAGUGGGGAAUUUUGGACGAUGGGCGAAAGCCUGAUCCAGCCAUGCCGCGUGCAGGAUGAAGGCCUUCGGGUUGUAAACUGCUUUUGUACGGAACGAAAAGGUUUGGCCUAAUAAGCUGAGCUCAUGACGGUACCGUAGGAAUAAGCACCGGCUAACUACGUGCCAGCCGCCGCAGUAA